rnacentral:lncRNA from 1 species
UCGGGAGUGAGAUACAGAGGCUUCCCGCACCGGAUAAGAUCAUUGGGGCAUUUGAUAACCCUGAUGAUCCUGGGCUUGCAUGAGGAGUUUAUGCAUUGCCAUAUUCUGAAUUGCGAUGUCUCUCAUAUCCACAGCUAUCUGAGCCAUUCCAUCAGUGAGUAUGGUUGUUUUUCCACCUCGGGGACGCCGGUGAUGUGGUCUCUGAUGAGUAACAUUGUUAUUGAGUACCUCUUCUUCAGAGGCCUCUCUCAUGGGGUUGUCGCCUUCAUGGCUAUAACUCAUCCUAUCUCCUUUUUCAACGGUAGUGAGAACUUGGAUUGUAACUUGACUUUGUUCUUUCUCAAGAACG